UGAACAUACGCAUAGAUAUACAAAGUAUAUAUGUGCCUGGCUCCCUGUAUGCCAUUUGCAGAGUCCCACCGAACAUCGAUGGCCUCCGUGGAUGGCGUAUGAGGAGCCAUGCAUAUAAACCCAUGUGUUUCCUGUGUGUGUUUCA
rnacentral:pre_miRNA from 1 species